rnacentral:rRNA from 2 species
GAGGGMAAGYCUGGUGCCAGCAGCCGCGGUAAUUCCAGCUCCAGUAGCGUAUAUUAAAGUUGUUGCAGUUAAAAAGCUCGUAGUUGGAUUUGUGGUGUGUUCCUUUGCGUAAUGAUCAACACAGCUUCGGCAAUUGUCGUUGUUGUUGUUGUUGUUACCAACACAUCAUCCUUGAUGGGAUUUAGAGUCAUUUCGACUUUUUAUUCUCAUCAUCCUUUACUUUGAAAAAAUUGGAGUGAUUCAAGCAGGCGAAAUACAACUCAUUUUACGUGAGUUAUUCAUUUUUGCUUCUGCACAUGUUAGCAUGGAAUAAUGCAAGAGGACUUGGGUUUUCUCUUUCAUUGGUUUCAGGAAUCCGAGUAAUGAUUGAUAGGGACAGUUGGGGGUGCUCAUAUUCGACGGCCAGAGGUGAAAUUCUUGGAUUCGUUGAGGAUGAACAACUGCGAAAGCAUUCACCAAGGAUGUCUUCUUUAAUCAAGAACGAAAGUUGGGGGAUCGAAGAUGAUCAGAUACCGUCGUAGUCCCAACCAUAAACGAUGCCGACCAGGGAUCAGCGAGCGUUGAC